rnacentral:rRNA from 1 species
UACGUAGGGUGCGAGCGUUGUCCGGAAUUAUUUGGGCGUAAAGAGCUCGUAGGCGGUCUGUCGCGUCGGCUGUGAAAUCCCGAGGCUCAACCUCGGGUCUGCAGUCGAUACGGGCAAACUAGAGUAUUGCAGGGGAGACUGGAAUUCCUGGUGUAGCGGUGAAAUGCGCAGAUAUCAGGAGGAACACCGGUGGCGAAGGCGGGUCUCUGGGCAAUAACUGACGCUGAGGAGCGAAAGCGUGGGGAGCGAACAGG